CUGGCAGUAAACGGUGCACGCUUGGUGUGAGGGGAUUCGACCCCCCUUGUGCCGGAGCAAACGCGUUAAGCGUGCCGCCUGGGAAGUACGGUCGCAAGACUAAAACUCAAAGAAAUUGACGGGGACCCGCACAAGCGGUGGAGUAUGUGGCUUAAUUCGAUGCAACGCGAAGAACCUUACCAAGGCUUGACAUGCAUCUCUAAGCGCGUGAAAGCGCGUGACCCUUCGGGGGAUUUGCACAGGUGC
rnacentral:rRNA from 1 species